UUCAUUUUGUUCCUGAAAUCUUUUUAGUACUAAACUGCUUUGGAAUGAAUUUUUUUGGGGGACAACAGCAGGAUUAGGGCCAUCUUCUAGAUGCCAUCAGGUAGGUGCGCUAGCGUAGUCGUUUGUUGUAGCAUUAUAUCCCUUUUCCUCCUUUUUAAAAAAUGUUUGUAAGACGCCUGAUUUUGUAUAAGUUAGUUAUAUAAGUAGUUGAAUAAGAAUUGGUGAGACUUGGAAAAUAGAAGAGGACAAAGAAAAUGGAAAAGGAUUGCUUUGAAAUAGAAGGAAAGGAGAUAGAAGAUGUUUGAGGAAAGGAGGAGGAUUUUGUUCGCUGUAACGGAAGUUUUUUGAAUGAAAUUUGGAGCAACUGUAUUAAGAUGUUAUUGAUAUCUUGGACAUCAAGUUUCAUUUAUUUGUGUAUUAUACAAGCCUAUCUGUUGGUGGAAAUGUAAAAUGGCAGCUGGUAUAACACCUUGUAUGAAUUAUUAGGAACUUCAAAGAACUUUUGACAGAAUUUAAACUGGGAAGAAGCUCAUAAAAGACCAGUUUAGGCUGCAGUAGUACCAGGACCUUAAAUUGGCUUCCACAACACAGAUAUCUUUCAAAAAUGAUAUCUGUUCGAGUGAUAUACUGGGCGUUAACAGUUGUUAAAAAUCUGCAAAUGAGUUACUACUGUGCAUACGUUUGAGGAAUGUCAAGAAAUGUUUUGAAUGAAACGAUAGUGAAAAACUUGUCCACAAAUGUCAAUUUCAAGAUACAAUCAAUAGUACUAAGAUUGAUUGGCCUCCAUUACCAUUAUGCUAUAAAAAUGUAAGCAAUACAAAUUGGUAUUAAUGGACGUUUUGACAGCUGUUGCCAGUCCAAGUUCCAGUUUUAAUGGAAAAUCUUUAAUGGACACAGAAAAAUGCCAUUUACUGGAUUGACUUCUACACCUGUUGCCUUUUAAUAAUGGCAUACGAUAGGACAAUUGCUAUUAGAAACCGAUAAGACAUACUAGCUGCAAAUAAUAUGUAUGGUGGUUAUAAAAGAGAUUUAAAUGGAAUGAAACACUUGUGCAGAAGAAAUCGAGGAAAACCAUUUUGAACUGCUGUUACUUAAUAGCUGUUAGAGCGGAUCCAGUUCUUCAUCAAUGGUAUAAGAUGGGAUAAUUGCUGUUAAAAAUCCACAAGCUGUACUAUCUGCAAAUAUUAUGGUGGACAACAAAAAGCUUUAAAUGGAAUGAAAUUUGCAGGAAAAGACUCAGAAAGACCAUUGAGGACUGUACUUAAUAGCUGUUACUGUGGUCGCAGUCCUUCAUCACUAAUAUCUCUGCAUUUUCUUAACAAUGGAUAUCCCCAACAGUUGCUCCUACUCCUCACUUUCCUCUUUCACUCAACAUAAAGCAGACUCGAUACUCCUCAAUGCCUCACCAAGGUUCGUUAGCUUCAUUAAUAGUGUUAUUGUUUCAAUAAAUUUGUUUACUGGUUUUUAUCCUCUUCUUAACUAUUUAAGUAUAUCAGGCGUCAUAUUAGUGUUAUUGAUUUUUUGUAAAAUUUUGAUAAUCUGGAUAAAAACCGUUUUUUUUUUUCUUAAGAUUUUGCAAAAUAAAAUACUUGUUAAGAACAAUUAACGUUAUUUUAUGAAUAGGACCAUUAUUUCUGUUUAUAUUGUCUUUUUAUUUAUUUAUUUUGAUGCUCUAUUUAUUAUCUAAUCGCCUCUAGUUUGAGACAUGUUUGAUUAAUUUUAAAUCAUUAAAAUCUAUGCAUUAAUCUUGAUGAAAAAUAUGUUGAGCAAUAUUAUAGUAAUCUGUUAUAAUUUCUCUUAAGCUUUUUUUCAAUCUCAUUUAUCUUUUAUUUUUGCAUUCAUUAAAGGUCAUUAGAUAUUGUGAUUAUUAAUUAAAUUGUUAGUUGUAUUAUAUAACGUAAUAUUUUUUUAAUAGAAUUAAAGAGAUUCUUUAUAAAUUUGUAUCAUUACCAAUUAUUUAUAAUAGUAGUUUUUUAAUUAUUUUUAAUUAAUUACUUUAAAUUUAUUCCGGAUUAUCAAAAUUAUAAAUGUUAUGCAUGCGCAGCUGCGUCACUAUAGCCCUAUGAACACAAGUAUUAUUUUAGUUCUAAAGUUUAUAUUUUUUAAUAUUUAAUUUAUUGUAUUAACACAAACUAAAUUUUAUGGAAUUUAUCUAACUAUAUCUACGAUCAGAUGAUAAUUUAAUAGUUUAAUGAUCAAUUUAAUCAUUUUUUAUAAGUUCUGGAUUGAUUAUUUUUAGUAAAAUAAUCCAUUUUGUUAAUACUUGUGUUCAUAUAGUUUUUUUUUGCUUUUGUGAAUUAUUUUUAGUACCCUAGGACAGGGGCGUGACCCUAGGACAGGAUAGGGUGGUAAAGGGAAUAAUUACCCCUCCCAGAAA